rnacentral:lncRNA from 1 species
UAUUCAUCCAAAACAAAAGUAAAAUAAUUCUCUCCAUUCACUCUUGCACAAACAAGAUUCAAGAAAAACUAGCUAAAGAGAGAGUGGUGGCUAGACCUAACCCAUAUCUCUCCAUUCCAUCCUCAAUAUGUUUUUUCAAGAAUGAAAGCUCUCUCCCUCACACAUUCCAGCCAAAGUCAAAUUCUCGGUAGCUCCGUGUUGACAAAUUGGCAAGUGUACCAAAUCGUACAAGUAAUAUAAAUGGUAAGACCAAGUAUCGUUUUCCCAAGAGACUUGAAUGGCUUUCUCGUUUGCGUGAAUUAAAAUAAUAAGACUUGAAAAUAAAAUUUAAUAAAUUGGAUUUGAGAACAAAAAUAUUAACAUGCAAAAUAAAGUUGAUUCAAUUAACAAAAGAAAAUAAUGGAUGAAUGGAUAUUGUUGGGGGUUCACAAUUUCAUCUAAUCCGCUCUCUCUUACCUACUCCUCUUGAAUAUUAGUUUGAUUAAUUAAUUGUUAUGCGACUUUCUUAGCCUCCCCUUAACCUGAUAUCUCGGCGAAAAGAGCCUAAUAUUAACUACUGGCUUGCUAUCCCUAGCCUCCCCUAGCAAUUAAUACCGCAUUAUAAACAGAAGUUAGAGCAAUUGAUCGUCCUACCCUUAUCCCUAGGUGGUAUUGCAAAAUCAAGAAAUUACUCACCAGUUCAUGUCAUUACUGUACGUCCCC